ensembl:lncRNA
AUGAGCAGGGCCGAUGUCCAGGGGGCAUGUUCUGCUUGUGAUGCCAUGCCCCCUCCUCACUCCCUGCUCUCUCCAUCCCCCUUCCCUUGCUGUGCUGCUGCAGGCAUGGAUAACUUCGAGUACAGCAUCCAGCUGAACGACCGCGACUGGGCUGAGUUCUUGCGGGCUGUGGAGGAAUGCAACCAAGAACCGGCUGCCUUGGCCACAGCAGAGGAGCAGUGCCUCAGUGACAUUGAACAAGGGGACACUGUGCCUGCUCUGUGCAGCACCAGGACAGGCACCGAGCCAGGGCUUGGCAAGGCAAACUGCUCCCCACGUGGGCUGUGCGGAGAGGACGAAGUAGAUCCGUGCUCAUCCAUUCUACGUGGAGACAAGCAGCCUGUCUGCCCGCUGCUUGCUGCCAUGCCCAGCGUGCAGGGCAGGCAGCCUCCCUGUCCUCCUGCAGCUGAGGGCAGUGCAGGGCAGGAUGCAGCACUGGGGGAAGGAGCUGCUGGCAGCAGAGCCAUGGAGCAUGCUGGGCACCCUGCUGCACCCCGUGCCCAAGGAGAGGACGUCAGUAUGGAGCAGCCCUGUGGGAGCCCAGCAGUGGUACAGGGAGGUAACCAGGAGGCUACUGCAUGGAAAAGCCAUGCUGGGGUGCCGGGACCUGAACAUGAGCACCCUGCGGCAGAGCCUGCUGCAGAGCUUGGGGAGAAAGCAACCAGCCAGCCCAGUGUCCAGGAGGUGGUGAGACCCAAAGUGCCAACACCAGCAAGGAAGAGCCGCAAGCAACGUGGAGCUGGUGGCACCGAGGUGACCCCAGGGGACAAGGAGCCAGCAGGGAACCCGGCACAAGGCAGCACAGCACCCAGCAGGGCCCCCUCGUCCUCCCCACUGACCUCAAGGAAGGGCAAAGGGAAGGAGAAGGCGGCCAAAGCGGCACCCAUGAGGCUGAGCAGUGAAGAGGCUGCAGAGGGCAAACGGCCAACGAGCAGCCCUGAUGCGGUGCUGGUGGAUGUGCCCCCCAACGUGUCCCCAAAGCUGAAGGCAAAGGAGUCAGGGGCACAGUCACCAGGGAAGGCGAGAUCCACCAAGCUGGCCAGGCAGGUGGGGGGCACAGGGGUGUGUGACACUGUACCAGUGGUGGUCACUGCACCUAAUGCAAUGCCAUUAGUUGUCACCCCACCAGCUGUUGUCACUACACCAGAUGCUGUUCCAGUGGUUGUCACUGUGAUGGGUGAGCUGUGCCAGGAUGGGAAGACUCUCGGUCCCCAAAGUGUGGCUGCUGCUGCUGGGGGCUGUGGGGAGUUCACAGCCAGCCCCAACCAGGAGAUAAGCUCCCCAGCAUUCACAGUUGGGGGCUCUCCUGGGGUAGACACCCUGGGUGUGACGUGGCCUGAGAUGUACGACUAUUUGUUCUGCGACUCCCAGGGGGAAGAAGAAGCAGCAGAGAACGUGGCGGAGGGCGAGAAAACGCCCUUGGAAAGGGAAAUAUCCUUGCCUGAACUGUAUGAGUAUUUUUUCAAUGAAGCUGAUGGAAGUAGGAAAAAAGCCAAGGGUAAGCAGAGGAAGAGGAAGGAGUUCUUUGGCUUUCACCAGGCUGAGCUGCAAAAGGAGAAUCCCAAUGCGACUGCAGCCAAAGAGCCCGUGGCUGCCACAGUGCCUGAGCUGUAUGAACACUUCUUCCCCGAUGGACCCCAGCACAGGAGGGGCUGGAGGGGAUUUCUCUUCUCCUCACCAGCUUCUGAGGUGAGGAAAGCCGUGGGGGCUCUGAUGUCCAUCCUGCAGAGGCCAAAGCCGUGCGGCACAACCCAAGCGCCCUCAUCCCCAUCAAUGGCACGGAGAGGGUCCCACCUUGCCUUGGUGCCACUGGGAGGGGGUCCUGAGCACCCACCAGCUUUGGACAUGGCCCUUGCACUGAGAGGUAAAGCAGCUGGAGCCCACGGCUGGCUCUGCAUGGAGACUGCUGAGGUCUGUGCAUUGCUGGUUUUGCACUGUGCAUGCAUGCAGCAAGGUGUGUGCUGUGCAUACAUGCAGUGGGGUGUGCUCUGUGCAUGCAUUUAG